ensembl:lincRNA
AUGUCAUUCAUUUGGAUAAUUCUUUUUUUCAAGUCCUCCUCUACAUUUGAUGGCUCCCAAGUAAUUGUCACGAGCAUCUCUUCUACUAUCAAAAUGUCACGACAAUGGAUGAUAAAUUGGAUAAAAACCUACCCUUGGCAUAAAAGGAAGAAAUGGUGUUGUCCAAAGAUGUCUCCACACAGCUGGACUUUUUCUUGGAUGCUCUUUUGGUUGACACUGAAUCCACAGAGAUUUCUGGCUUCAUGGAUGGCCAAACACUGCUUUGCAUCUUGA